AAAACUUGGGCUUGUUCCAGGUCAGCAGCUAGUAAUUACCUCAAAGAGGCCGGUGAUGCUCAUGGCACUGUCAAAAUUCAAAUUUCCAUAGGGGAUGGACCAAGAACGGGUGUGGCUUGGGGGUGUGAUUUAAGUUAUGACUAUGUGAAGAUUAAC